rnacentral:rRNA from 1 species
UACGAGGGGGGCAAGCGUUGUUCGGAAUUAUUGGGCGUAAAGGGCGCGUAGGCGGUGCGGUAAGUCACCUGUGAAAACUCUGGGCUCAACUCAGAGCCUGCAGGCGAAACUGCCGUGCUUGAGUGUGGGAGAGGUGCGUGGAAUUCCUGGUGUAGCGGUGAAAUGCGUAGAUAUCAGGAGGAACACCUGUGGCGAAAGCGGCUCACUGGACCAUAACUGACGCUGAGGCACGAAAGCUAGGGGAGCAAACAGG